CCAAAUAUUCAGAACUUCAGGACAACACUAAGAUGCAUGCGAUUUUGGGCCAAACGACGUGGAGUAUACUCUAAUGUCUCGGGAUUUCUUGGUGGUAUAAACUGGGCGU